UGGGGAAUUUUCCGCAAUGGGCGAAAGCCUGAUGCAGCGACGCCGCGUGAGGGAUGACGGCCUUCGGGUUGUAAACCUCUUUCAGCACGGAAGAAGCGAAAGUGACGGUACGUGCAGAAGAAGCGCCGGCUAACUACGUGCCAGCAGCCGCGGUAAUACGUAGGGCGCAAGCGUUGUCCGGAAUUAUUGGGCGUAAAGAGCUCGUAGGCGGUUUGUCGCGUCUGCUGUGAAAGCCCGGGGCUUAACCCCGUGGUGUGCAGUGGGUACGGGCAGACUAGAGUGCAGUAGGGGAGACUGGAAUUCCUGGUGUAGCGGUGAAAUGCGCAGAUAUCAGGAGGAACACCGAUGGCGAAGGCAGGUCUCUGGGCUGUUACUGACGCUGAGGAGCGAAAGCAUGGGGAGCGAACAGG
rnacentral:rRNA from 1 species